AGGAAGUAUUAAAUAGCAACCUACCACUUAAAUGCUGGCAGUAUGUUCUUCUGCAAAUUUCUAUUGAUUAUGCAUAUCAUUAGUAUAAUUUAUGUGGAGUCAAGACAUAUAUAAUGUCAUUUUAUAAGCAUUCCUAAUCGUACUAAAGAUGCCAUCUCUGAGAACCCCACAUGCCAAUGAUGGUUACAUAUCAACGCAGGCAUUUCACCUGAGAGCUACCGCACUCUAGAAUUAGUUUGAACGCAGUUCUUUGAUCUUAUUACUCACAUGUAUUCUUUUUGCGGGUUUAUGCACUUGCAGCUUAGCAGAGAAGUCUAUACUGAAACCCCACUGAUUUGUAUAAACUGAUUGCAUCGUGUGUUGUCUUGUCUGUGAUUGCAGCCAUUAUCAGAGCAGGGUGGUCUUGUGUGGUGAGUGAACCAUGGAUAUUAUAGCUCUAACAGGAGGAAACUUGCCCCACGAUUUUCCUUGAAACCUUGAUAGGACCACAGCUACAUAGAACACAGGAGUGAAACAAUCCAUUGUCCAUCAGCUCCUUUGACAGAAACCGGAUUUGCAUUCUGGUUAAGACCUACUGUACUAGGGUUACCGCAGUCAUGACCACAUUGAGACUUCAGGAUAAAGUCCGUGUGGUCGAGAGCAUCCCAGUUCCAUACCAAAGUGCUACUGCAAUUGGUGCUUAGUUUAGGACUGUCGCUGAGUUACUUCGUCUGGACAUCUUCAAAAAGAAGUCAAACACUCAGCAUAAUAGUUACAUUAUCUAUGUACAAAGCCGAUGGCCUGCCAAAAUGUGCUCCGAGAGGCAGGUAAAUAUGGUGGUCACAGAUGCUGCAAACCCAAGGGAGCUUAGGGAUGCUGCAAACUAUGUAAAUGUUUGAGAUCACCAACGCAUAAGAAUGAUGUUAUGAUUAAGGGGGGCGCCUAAAUGUCAGGUAACUGAAAAAAUGAGUAAAUUGCAGAAAACACCGGUUUACAAUUUUUUCCUUCCAGAAACCAUGGAUUCUUGAUCAAUUUUUUUUUCUUGAAACGAAGGCAAAGCUUUGCCUCAUGUAAUAAUUAAGGAGUCGGUCAAAUAUUUUGCAGAAAACACUCAUUGGUCUAUUUGGGUAUUUUUACCGUGAUUAUGACAUGCGAGGCCCGCAUUUGAUGACGUGGCGUGAGGGUUCACA